GGAGAACCAUCAGGAUAUUUCCAGAGCAAAGUGACAGAGGGGCAUCGGAUUUUUUUUGGGGAAAUAAGGGAGGAGUUCAGCAACAGUGUUUAGGGCAAAAACCAUGAAUUUCACCAUCUAAAUCUUCCUAUUCUCGAUUAGUUCUUGGUCACCAAGCACUCACCUCCUCUCUAACCUACAGAAUUUGUUAUCUCCCCACCCUAGAAUUUCAAUUUGAGUGAGGAAUUGAGUAACACCACUGUUGUCUCCUUCUAGCCACACCAUUUCUGACACCUCUGGAAACUUAAACCUCUUCUUGCUUCUCCUUAGCUUGCAUUAGACCCUCUUUCGAUGUACUUUUGAUCUGAGAAUUAAGAGGGAAGGAAAGGGCAGAUUGGGGAAACAUAACGUUCGAUUUCAAUUCACCAAGUUGCAGCAAAAUUCCAACUCAUUGCUGCCAUGUUGACUGUUGAGACAUCCUCUUCUUGUUGCAGCUAACUGAUGGUUCAUUUUCAUGGGCAUCCCACAACCCAUGUGUUGGCAGUACACAUAUGAAUAAUUAGGUAACCCAAAACCACUCAAUUCUUUAAGUCUUGAUGCUCAAUUUGCUACGGGUUAUUGGAUUUGAGAUUUAUUAAAGGGUAUAGAGUUCUAGAUAAAUUGGAGAGAUUUAUGUGGCUAAAGAUUAAUGGAUCAAGUCUCAAUAGACGAUUUAAGUAUUUGUGAUAGAAGGGUGAUGGGUGUGAUGUGGUUGAAGGGGAAUAGGUGUGGGAUGAAAACUAUCAAUUGUAUCACUCUAAAGAACGUAGCUUAUUGGAUGAGGGGUUCGUGCACAGAAUAUGACAGACCUGAUUUGUUCUACCCCAUAUGGAGAUAGCAACGCAAACAUUGCAACGUACUCACUGUGUAUGUCACCAAAAAAAGGAGAUUGACAUUUAAGAAUCGAAACUUUGGGCCUGAUAUUUUGGUCAAUUAGGCGAUUGGUUGAGCAUGUGGUUGGUACAGGAGCAACUAGCAAAGCAUUGCGAGUGCAAGAGUGUGAACAGCUUCACGGUGUGAUGCUGUGGUUGGUGGCGCAUAGUGUUGAUGCCGGUGAAGGCAACCAAGCGACUAUUUGGGUCCAGCAGUUUAUUUAUUUAUUUAUCUUCAUCCUUUUUAUUGUUCUGGAGCCCUUAUUCUUUUGAGCUUAACACCAAUUGGUAAGCAAUCACU
rnacentral:misc_RNA from 1 species